GAUGAAGAACGCAGCGAAAUGCGAUAAGUAAUGUGAAUUGCAGAAUUCAGUGAAUCAUCGAAUCUUUGAACGCACAUUGCGCCCCCUGGUAUUCCGGGGGGCAUGCCUGUUCGAGCGUCAUUUCACCACUCAAGCCUCGCUUGGUAUUGGGUAACGCGGUCCGCCGCGUGCCUCAAAUCGACCGGCUGGGUCUUCUGUCCCCUAAGCGUUGUGGAAACUUUCGCUAAAGGGUGUUCGGGAGGCUACGCCGUAAAACAACCCCAUUUCUAAGGUUGACCUCGGAUCAGGUAGGGAUACCCGCUGAACUUAAGCAUAUCAAUAAGCGGAGGA
rnacentral:misc_RNA from 1 species